CAUGUAGGCGGCUGUGCAAGUCGUGUGUUAAAGCCCCUGGCUCAACUGGGGGAGGUCAUGCGAGACUGCGCGGCUGGAGGACAGUAGAGGCACAUGGAACUCCCGGUGUAGCGGUGGAAUGCGUAGAGAUCGGGAAGAACACCCGUGGCGAAGGCGGUGUGCUGGGCUGUUUCUGACGCUGAGAUGCGAAAGUGUGGGGAGCAAACG
rnacentral:rRNA from 1 species